AUGAACGCUAGCGGCAGGCUUAACACAUGCAAGUCAGGGGCAGCAUAAUGGAUAGCAAUAUCUAUGGNGGUCGACCGGCGCACGGGUGCGUAACGCGUAUGCAACCUACCGUUUAACAGGGGGAUAACACUGAGAAAUUGGUACUAAUACCCCGUAAUAUCAUAGAAGGCAUCUUUUAUGGUUGAAAAUUCCGAUGGUUAGAGAUGGGCAUGCGUUGUAUUAGCUAGUUGGUGAGGUAACGGCUCACCAAGGCGACGAUACAUAGGGGGACUGAGAGGUUAACCCCCCACACUGGUACUGAGACACGGACCAGACUCCUACGGGAGGCAGCAGUGAGGAAUAUUGGUCAAUGGACGCAAGUCUGAACCAGCCAUGCCGCGUGCAGGAUGACGGCUCUAUGAGUUGUAAACUGCUUUUGUACUAGGGUAAACUCACCUACGUGUAGGUGACUGAAAGUAUAGUACGAAUAAGGAUCGGCUAACUCCGUG
rnacentral:rRNA from 1 species